AGUGAACGCUGGCGGUAGGCCUAGCACAUGCAAGUCGAACGGCAGCACAGUAAGAGCUUGCUCUUACGGGUGGCGAGUGGCGGACGGGUGAGGAAUACAUUGGAAUCUACUUUUUCGUGGGGGAUAACGUAGGGAAACUUACGCUAAUACCGCAUACGACCUACGGGUGAAAGCAGGGGAUCUUCGGACCUUGCGCGAUUGAAUGAGCCGAUGUCGGAUUAGCUAGUUGGCGGGGUAAAGGCCCACCAAGGCGACGAUCCGUAGCUGGUCUGAGAGGAUGAUCAGCCACACUGGAACUGAGACACGGUCCAGACUCCUACGGGAGGCAGCAGUGGGGAAUAUUGGACAAUGGGCGCAAGCCUGAUCCAGCCAUACCGCGUGGGUGAAGAAGGCCUUCGGGUUGUAAAGCCCUUUUGUUGGGAAAGAAAAGCAGCAGGUUAAUACCCCGCUGUUCUGACGGUACCCAAAGAAUAAGCACCGGCUAACUUCGUG
rnacentral:rRNA from 1 species